UACGGAGGGAGCUAGCGUUGUUCGGAUAUACUGGGCGUAAAGCGCACGUAGGCGGCGCCGUAAGUCAGGGGUGAAAUCCCGGAGCUCAACUCCGGAGCUGCCUUUGAAACUGCGGUGCUAGAAUCCUGGAGAGGCGAGUGGAAUUCCGAGUGUAGAGGUGAAAUUCGUAGAUAUUCGGAAGAACACCAGUGGCGAAGGCGACUCGCUGGACAGGUAUUGACGCUGAGGUGCGAAAGCGUGGGGAGCAAACAGG
rnacentral:rRNA from 1 species